UGGGGGAUAUUGCACAAUGGGCGAAAGCCUGAUGCAGCGACGCCGCGUGGGGGAUGAAGGCCUUCGGGUUGUAAACUUCUUUUGCUCUGAACAAGGCAUGCCUUUGGGGUGUGUUGAGUGUAGGGGUUGAUUAGCGCCGGCUAACUACGUGCCAGCAGCCGCGGUAAUACGUAGGGCGCGAGCGUUGUCCGGAAUUAUUGGGCGUAAAGGGCUUGUAGGUGGCUGGUUGCGUCUGUCGUGAAAGCUCAUGGCUUAACUGUGGGUUUGCGGUGGGUACGGGCUGGCUUGUGUGCAGUAGGGGAGGCUGGAAUUCCUGGUGUAGCGGUGGAAUGCGCAGAUAUCAGGAGGAGUACCGGUGGCGAGGGCGGGUCUCUGGGCUGUUACUGACGCUGAGGAGCGAAAGCGUGGGGAGCGAACAGG
rnacentral:rRNA from 1 species